rnacentral:rRNA from 1 species
GGACGGGGCCCGGCACAAGCGGUGGAGCAUGUGGUUUAAUUCGAUGAUACGCGAGGAACCUUACCUGGGCUCAAAUGUAUGUUGACGUAUUCUGAAAGGGAUACUUCUUCGGACAAUAUACAAGGUGCUGCAUGGUUGUCGUCAGCUCGUGCCGUGAGGUGUCGGGUUAAGUCCCAUAACGAGCGCAACCCCUAUCAUUAGUUGCCAUCAGGUCAAGCUGGGGACUCUAAUGAAACUGCCUACGCAAGUAGUGAGGAAGGUGGGGAUGACGUCAAAUCAUCAUGGCCCUUAUGUCCUGGGCUACACACGUGCUACAAUGGCCGGUACAGAGUGAAGCGAAACCGCGAGGUGAAGCAAAACGCAGAAAGCCGGUCUCAGUACGGAUUGGAGUCUGAAACUCGACUUCAUGAAGUUGGAAUCGCUAGUAAUCGCGCAUCAGCAUGGCGCGGUGAAUACGUUCCCGGGCCUU